CUGACGGUACUUAAUGAAUAAGCCCCGGCUAAUUAUGUGCCAGCAGCCGCGGUAAUACAUAAGGGGCGAGCGUUAUCCGGAAUUAUUGGGNGNNAAGGGUGCGUAGGCGGUUUAAUAAGUCUAUAGUUUAAUUUCAGUGCUUAACGCUGUUGUGCUAUAGAAACUGUUUUACUAGAGUGAGUUAGAGGCAAGCGGAAUUCCAUGUGUAGCGGUAAAAUGCGUAAAUAUAUGGAGGAACACCAGAGGCGUAGGCGGCUUGCUGGGACUUUACUGACGCUGAGGCACGAAAGCGUGGGGAGCAAACAGGAUUAGAUACCCUGGUAGUCCACGCCGUAAACGAUGAGUACUAAGUGUCGGGUAAAACCGGUACUGAAGUUAACACAUUAAGUACUCCGCCUGAGUAGUACGUACGCAAGUAUGAAACUUAAAGGAAUUGACGGGACUCCGCACAAGCGGUGGAUCAUGUUGUUUAAUUCGAAGAUACACGAAAAACCUUACCAGGUCUUGACAUUUUCUUGCGAAGUUAUAGAAAUAUAAUGGAGGUUAUCAGGAAAACAGGUGGUGCAUGGUUGUCGUCAGCUCGUGUCGUGAGAUGUUAGGUUAAGUCCUAAAACGAGCGCAACCCUUGUCGUUAAUUGCCAGCAUGUAAUGAUGGGGACUUUAACGAGACUGCCAAUGAAAAAUUGGAGGAAGGUGGGGAUUACGUCAAAUCAUCAUGCCCCUUAUGAUCUGGGCUACAAACGUGAUACAAUGGUUGAUACAAAGAGUAGCUGAAACGCGAGUUCUUAGCCAAUCUCACAAAAUCAAUCUCAGUUCGGAUUGAAGUC
rnacentral:rRNA from 1 species